CUACAAACCCGCGCUAUCGUGGCGCUUUAAAGUGCCAAGGAAAGUCCGGACAGCACAGGGCAACCCACCGGUGAACAGCCGGCUGUCUUGCUCAAGGCGAGAUAAGAGAUAGUGCCACAGAAAAUAACUGUGGUCCCUCCUUAAGCGGGACCAUGAGGGUGAAAAUGUGAGGUAAGAGCUCACAGCUUUGUACAGUAAUGUGCAAAGCGGGCAAACCUUGGGUGCUGUAAUGCCAUGUAAAGGCUCGCCAGCAGGGCGGCCCGCCCGAUGAGCCAGGGUAGGCAGCUACAUCGCGGCAGUAAUGCCGGGAGCAGAUAAAUGAUAGUGUAAAAACAGAAUCCGGCUUACGAGGUUUGUAGCUUU
rnacentral:RNase_P_RNA from 1 species